rnacentral:rRNA from 1 species
UACGAAGGGGGCUAGCGUUGUUCGGAUUUACUGGGCGUAAAGCGCACUAGGCGGAUUGGUCAGUUAGGGGUGAAAUCCUGGAGCUCAACUCCAGAACUGCCUUUAAUACUGCCAGUCUCGAGUCCGGAAGAGGUAAGUGGAACUCCUAGUGUAGAGGUGGAAUUCGUAGAUAUUAGGAAGAACACCAGUGGCGAAGGCGGCUUACUGGUCCGGUACUGACGCUGAGGUGCGAAAGCGUGGGGAGCAAACAGG